rnacentral:tRNA from 1 species
AAUGAGAUGACUGAUUUUAGGUGGUAAACUGUAAAUUUAUUUAAGGUAAUAAUUUACCUCUCAUUA